rnacentral:rRNA from 1 species
UACGGGGGGGGCAAGCGUUGUUCGGAAUUACUGGGCGUAAAGGGCUCGUAGGCGGCCAACUAAGUCAGACGUGAAAUCCCUCGGCUUAACCGGGGAACUGCGUCUGAUACUGGUUGGCUUGAAUCCGGGAGAGGGAUGUGGAAUUCCAGGUGUAGCGGUGAAAUGCGUAGAUAUUGGGAGGAACACCGGUGGCGAAGGCGGCCCCCUGGACCGGAACUGACGCUGAGGCGCGAAAGCGUGGGUAGCAAACAGG